AUUUACAUAAUAUAAAAAUUAUAUUUAAUUUCCAAUUAAAAAAUCUAGUUUCUAGUGUAAAUA
rnacentral:tRNA from 1 species